AGCAGUCGCCACGGUAAUACGUAGGUGGCAAGCGUUGUCCGGAAUUAUUGGGCGUAAAGCGCGCGCAGGCGGAUAGGUCAGUCUGUCUUAAAAGUUCGGGGCUUAACCCCGUGAUGGGAUGGAAACUGCCAACCUAGAGUAUCGGAGAGGAAAGUGGAAUUCCUAGUGUAGCGGUGAAAUGCGUAGAUAUUAGGAAGAACACCAGUGGCGAAGGCGACUUUCUGGACGAAAACUGACGCUGAGGCGCGAAAGCCAGGGGAGCGAACGGGAUUAGAUACCCCUGUAGUCCCUGUCUCUUAUACA
rnacentral:rRNA from 1 species